AUUGAACGCUGGCGGCAGGCCUAACACAUGCAAGUCGAGCGGAUGAAGAGAGCUUGCUCUCUGAUUCAGCGGCGGACGGGGGAGUAAUGCCUAGGAAUCUGCCUGGUAGUGGGGGACAACGUUUCGAAAGGAACGCUAAUACCGCAUACGUCCUACGGGAGAAAGCAGGGGACCUUCGGGCCUUGCGCUAACAGAUGAGCCUAGGUCGGAUUAGCUAGUAGGUGGGGUAAAGGCUCACCUAGGCGACGAUCCGUAACUGGUCUGAGAGGAUGAUCAGUCACACUGGAACUGAGACACGGUCCAGACUCCUACGGGAGGCAGCAGUGGGGAAUAUUGGACAAUGGGCGAAAGCCUGAUCCAGCCAUGCCGCGUGUGUGAAGAAGGUCUUCGGAUUGUAAAGCACUUUAAGUUGGGAGGAAGGGCAGUAAGCUAAUACCUUGCUGUUUUGACGUUACCAACAGAAUAAGCACCGGCUAACUUCGUGCCAGCAGCCGCCGUAAAAC
rnacentral:rRNA from 1 species